rnacentral:rRNA from 1 species
UACGUAGGUGGCAAGCGUUGUCCGGAAUUAUUGGGCGUAAAGCGCGCGCAGGCGGUCUUUUAAGUCUGAUGUGAAAGCCCACGGCUCAACCGUGGAGGGUCAUUGGAAACUGGGGGACUUGAGUGCAGAAGAGGAAAGUGGAAUUCCAUGUGUAGCGGUGAAAUGCGUAGAGAUGUGGAGGAACACCAGUGGCGAAGGCGACUUUCUGGUCUGUAACUGACGCUGAGGCGCGAAAGCGUGGGGAGCGAACAGG